GUCGGUGUGGUGUAGUGGUUAGCAUCCCAUGAUGUAGGGCCGUUUGAAUUAGUUGCUUGCAGCUGUGUUAUAUUCCUAUCCUGCUUCAUGGGGGCCCGGGUUCGACUCCUGGCACGGGCA